rnacentral:rRNA from 1 species
UACGGGGGGGGCAAGCGUUGUUCGGAAUUACUGGGCGUAAAGGGCGCGUAGGCGGCCUUCUAAGUCGAACGUGAAAUCCCCGGGCUCAACCCGGGAACUGCGUCCGAUACUGGAAGGCUUGAAUCCGGGAGAGGGAUGCGGAAUUCCAGGUGUAGCGGUGAAAUGCGCAGAUAUCAGGAGGAACACCAAUGGCGAAGGCAGAUCUCUGGGCCGUAACUGACGCUGAGGAGCGAAAGCAUGGGGAGCGAACAGG